AGAGAGGUGUGUGAGAGGUUUGGAGGGUAAUGAUCUGAGGACAUCUUGAGUGGGAGAGAUGUGUGUGAGGAGAGGUGCUGAUGCUUCCUGCCUAGUGAACAGAACCAGGAGAGGACCAGGAGAGUUGGACCAGGAGAGGUGCUGACGCACGUGAGAUAGAGAGGUGUGUGAGGGCUUUGUAGAGUAACGAUGUGAAGAUAUCUGGAGUGAGAGAGAUGUGUGUGAGAGAGGUUUGGAGGACAUCUGGAGUGAGAAAGAGGUGUGUGAGGGGUUUGGAGGGUAAUGAUCUGAGGACAUCUGGAGUGACAGAGAGGUUUGGAGGGUAAUGAUCUGAGGACAUCUGGAGUGACAGAGAGGUUUGGAGGGUAAUGAUCUGAGGACAUCUGGAGUGACAGAGAGGUUUGGAGGGUAAUGAUCUGAGGACAUCUGGAGUGAGAGAGAGGUUUGGAGGGUAAUGAUCUGAGGACAUCUGGAGUGACAGAGAGGUUUGGAGGGUAAUGAUCUGAGGACAUCUGGAGUGACAGAGAGGUUUGGAGGGUAAUGAUCUGAGGACAUCUGGAGUGACAGAGAGGUUUGGAGGGUAAUGAUCUGAGGACAUCUGGAGUGACAGAGAGGUAUGGAGGGUAAUGAUCUGAGGACAUCUGGAGUGACACAGAGGUU